CCAUCAACGACCCACACCUCCUUCCAAAUUAAUCCAAUCUUCUCCUCACCACGCACUUCCUCCGCAGCAGCAGGCGGACGCUCCUCCUCUGUCCUCUCGGCUGCUCCCGAACUAUAAUCCGCUUCCAUAGCCCCAACUGCUCACUCCCCUGAUGCCGUCGCGCCCGAUGAUGGCGACGAGGAGGACGGAUAAAUGACGACAGCGUCCUCCCGUGACAAGGACCUACACAACCCUCUCCAUCUGAAGCCCUUGCUUCUUCGUCGUCCGGUAAAGAGGAGAAGCCGCAACAGGUGGUGGACAGCGCGGACAUGCCCGAUGAGAUGAACAACAGGUCGAAGACGGGUGUGGUGGUGAGCACGUUCUCGGCCGCGGAUGUGGUGAGACUCACCGUCGUCGUGUACUCGAGGCGGCAAGCCGGCAUCCAGAUCGAACCUGCUGAUUUAGAACUCGAGCCAUCCUUUCAUUCCUUUGCCCUGAACCUGUUUCCGGAUGGAUACUCAAUUUCUGGGCUCGAUAAGGUCUAUGUGAAAUUGUGAAUUGAGAGGAUCGUAACUAUGUGUUUGUUCCUUGCUGCUCAUGACAGAUUCAAUCAGGCCCGUACGGGAUGCAUGUGCAGAGUGUGCAUAUGCACAGGGCCUCCAAAAAAUCAGGGCCCCCAAAUUCAUCUCAAGUAUUGGAGCAGUAGAUUGGCAGCAAUAAAUUAGCAGACUAAUCGAUAUUAGCAGCAAUAAAGGGCCCAUUUAUCAUCGUGGAGAGUGGAGACUUGCCCAACCCAAAUACACCACACGUCUAGAAAUCCACCCGAACCUCUCUUUCUUCCUCACUUUUCAUCUUCUCAAUUACAGCGUGCGUGCAGAGACAAAUAAUUAAGGAAGCAGUGUUUUAUUUUCUACAAUAUCUUCUAUUAGAAACGCUGGAGAAAGAAUGACUUUGGCCAAAGAAUCACAGGUUUCUGCCUGAGAUUUAUACACUCCCUCCAUCCCACCAAAAACAUGUCAACUUUAUCUAAAUUUAAAUAUACAAUAUCAAAAUAAUGUAGCAUUCCAGUUAGGAGAUACUUCUUAGGUUAUAAGCUCUAAUAUUUGCAUUUAGCAAGAUGAGUUCAUUGACAAAAGAAUAUUUUACUCCUUUUCUGCAUUAAACUCUCUGGUUAACUAAAAAUGGUUAUGAGCAGGGCCCGCUAUUACACUUUGCACAGGGCCUUCAUUUUGUCAAGUACGGCCCUGGAUUCAAUUGAUUUCAGUGUAGGUAAUGCUUGUUUUUCCUGAUUGGUGAUGAUCCAAAGAAGAAUUUGUAUAACUGAGCUUCCAAGCUUUUGGUAAGUAUGGUCCUUAUUUUACUUCCAUAGUGUCAAACGGGGUGGGGGAUAAUUAAUCAUGAGUGGCUUGAAAGCAACAAGGUUGAGGAAUGAGUACAUACAUUGCAAAGUGGGUUUUAUAUUGUGCAGUAUUGCAGUCUAUUUGCGUGCAACAUAUUUAUUGGCGGCACGCAGGAGGCGGACACACCAGACUCUAGAGCAUAGCAGGGCAUUUAUACUGUCGCACUUUGUUGUCAUGAUUCUAUUUUGUUGAUGAGAUCAAAGUAAGUAUUAUUGUGCAUAUUUUUCACAUAGUUUAUUUCCUCAUUGAUAUAUUCUUUCUAUGAGGGAACCAAAUAGCUUUGCUUAGAAAAUUUAUCGGAUAUGAGUAUUUUUAUAUAGAGAAUCUUAACAAGUAUUUAGUCCUGAUUGCUUGCUACUUUCUGUUGCGGAUUCUUAUAGUGUAUCGGUGGAUUUUAACAUUUUUACAAAUUUGUUCUUAAAGGAUAUUGGGUGCGGCUACUUCCUCCCAAGAUAUCUUCCUAGGUAUUCCUUGUGAAUUCCAAAAUGGAUACGCUAAAGUCACGGUCCAAUUUUGCAGCUUUAAUAUAUGAAUUUUCUCUUCUUCUGUGUGGCUUAUGUGUUGUGCACUACCUGACUACAUGACUACCCUUUAUGUCUAAUGGGGGUGAUUUUUCAGGAUGUGACUUUCCCAAAUUUAACACAUUUGCUCUAAGACUGGGCACUGAAUAUGUUGCCAAAGAUCUUUCCUUGUUUGCAGAGGCUUCAUAGAGUUACACGAUACAACUGUCUGGAAAUGUGAUUAUCAAGCCAGAAGUUCCAGGCAUAAUCUCAAGACGUGGAAGUCGGCCAGGCCCACUGAAUGUAUCAAUUCGUGCAUCAUUGUAUUCUCUAUUAGAGAAUACCGAGGAGAGCUCAAGGUGGUUGCCUUCCUCAAGGUUUUCUUCCGAAGUAUGAGAGUCCUCAAGAGUGCUUCUAUAUUAAUGACUAGCCCAUGCUUCACACCAUUUUUAGUGGAGGAGGUGCAAUUCAAGUUUAGCAAGAUUCUAAAUAGAUAGACAGUAACAACUGCUAAGUACCUUGGAGUGAAGGUACUGAAGGAGGCGUACCAUGGAUCUUUGAGGAAGGAACUGAUGCCUGCGGAGUUCCUCGACCAAGCUUAAUGCUUGUGGAGUAGUGCAAGCUUUUGGGAUGUGAACUAUGAAGCAUGCUUGUUAUCUGCGUCAUGAGUUUGUUGUAUCACAUUGCAGACUCCGCAGACAAUUCGUGGCUUGAUGUCUCGUGGGAAUCAGACACACUUUUUUGCGAAGUGUGGACUGAUAGUUUGUUGUUGUCUAACUCGAGUUACCAGUUUUCCCCGGUAUGUUUUCAUAAAGACAACAUGUUUCAUUGCCUAAAUUUUGUGAUUCUUGUCACACUGCCGGUGGGAGUCGAAAUCCAAAAUCACUAUGGACUGAUAGUUUUCUUGUCA